GAUGAAGAACGUAGCGAAAUGCGAUACGUAAUGUGAAUUGCAGAAUUCAGUGAAUCAUCGAAUCUUUGAACGCAUAUUGCGCUCUUUGGUAUUCCGAAGAGCAUGCUUGUUUGAGUAUCAGUAAACACCUCAACCUCUUCUUGAUUUUUCAAAAGGAGGGUGGACUUGAGCUAUCCCAACAACCUUUACCGGUCGGCGGGCGGCUUGAAAUGCAGGUGCAGCUGGACUUUUAUCUGAGCUAAAAGCAUAUCUAUUUAGUCUGCCUAAAAAACAGAUUAUUACCUUUGCUGCAGCUAACAUAAAGGAGAUUAGUUCUUGUGCUGACUGAUGCAGGAUUCACAAAGACUGGCUUCGGCCGACUUUGUAAACUCGAUCUCAAAUCAAGUAAGACUACCCGCUGAACUUAAGCAUAUCAAUAAGCGGAGGA
rnacentral:misc_RNA from 1 species